AUCUGAGGGAUAGCUCAGUUGGUAGAGUGUGAGACCCUCAAUCCCAGGGUUGUUGGUUUGAGCUCCACUUUGGGCA